AACGAACGCUGGCGGCAGGCUUAACACAUGCAAGUCGAGCGGACCUUUCGGGGUCAGCGGCGGACGGGUGAGUAACGCGUGGGAACGUGCCUUCCGGUUCGGAAUAACCCUGGGAAACUAGGGCUAAUACCGGAUACGCCCUUAUGGGGAAAGGUUUACUGCCGGAGGAUCGGCCCGCGUCUGAUUAGCUAGUUGGUGGGGUAACGGCCUACCAAGGCGACGAUCAGUAGCUGGUCUGAGAGGAUGAUCAGCCACACUGGGACUGAGACACGGCCCAGACUCCUACGGGAGGCAGCAGUGGGGAAUAUUGGACAAUGGGCGGAAGCCUGAUCCAGCCAGGCCGCGUGAGUGAUGAAGGCCUUAGGGUUGUAAAGCUCUUUUAUCCGGGACGAUAAUGACGGUACCGGAGGAAUAAGCCCCGGCUAACUUCGUG
rnacentral:rRNA from 1 species